UACGGAGGGUGCAAACGUUGCUCGGAAUUAUUGGGCGUAAAGCGCACGUAGGCGGUCCAGCAAGUCGGGUGUGAAAGCCCUCGGCUUAACCGAGGAAGUGCAUUCGAAACUACUGGACUUGAAUACUGGAGAGGAUCGCGGAAUUCCCGGUGUAGAGGUGAAAUUCGUAGAUAUCGGGAGGAACACCAGUGGCGAAGGCGGCGAUCUGGACAGAUAUUGACGCUGAGGAGCGAAAGCCAGGGGAGCGAACGGG
rnacentral:rRNA from 1 species